UCCUGGUUGGAAUGGGUGUCCAUCUCUGCAGUCCAGGCUUCCCCCUUCUACCUGUCCAGUGUCUUCAGGGCCCCUCCUCUCCAUCCCCCAGUGCUCACCUCACAUCCCCAAGACCUUCUCAAGGCCAGAAACCUUGGCGUCAUCUUGUCCCUGAGCUAUUUUUUCCUCCUGUGUAUCCAAGUCAUUAUUACUGCUCCGUCUCCCCAGCCUGAAUUUCUGGAAGUCUGCCGCCCAUUCAGCCUCUCACUGCUCGCCUCAGCCAAAAGCCUCAGCAGACAUGCUUCCCUCACCACCCGGCACCCCUCCCACUCCUCGGAGAAUGCUGUUAAGCCAGCUUUCACAUCUGUGGAGUCUGUGGAGUCUCUGAAAAGCCUUGAAGAGCUACUUCUAAGGGGUCAACAUUGGUCAGAACAGGGGAUGGCAGUCUGCUGGACACACGGGGCCACCUAAUUGCUUUCCCAUGUCUUGCUGGAGUGGUGCUGGCAGCCAGAGAGCUACCAGAACCUGAACUAAUUUGGUAAAUAAGGACCAAAACCAAGGACCGCAUUUCUGCUUCUUCGCUGAGACCCAGACUCCCCACAGAAUUCCAAAGAUUUUUCUUCCUUGGAAGUCACUGGACCUCCAGCCCUGAAUUCCGCUCCCCAGGAGAGCCUGUUCCCCUGCUCGGAACAAAUAACAUAUUUCCUGGUUAAUUGGAAGUCAGGAAGGCUUGAAGAAGGGUGAUUGGGCCCCCAGUCUUGCAGAGAGGUCAGUCAGCUCAUGGGCUCAGUGUCCUUCUACAGACACCGGGCAACUCGGACUCCUGCAUAGUACAUCUCAAGUUUGAAAGAUGGAGGAAGUCAGGAUGACCUGGUGUCUUCUUUUUGAUGACUUCUCCGCCCAUAGCGCCCACAGAUGGAUUGUAAUGCUCCACUCAGCCCCGGAGUUCCAGAUGGGAGUCAGGAAACUUGGGACAACCCCAAAGGCAAGGUGUGAAGCAGCAGCUGGGAUGGACAAUGUAUAGAAGCCAAGAAGAAAGGCCCGGAAGCCCCUCAACCCAGAGACAAAAGGAGGCACCAGGGCACUUUACCAGGUUUCCAUGUUUACCAAGACAUUGUCUCCAGGCGGUUUGCUUGUGUUCCCUGAGGGUACUACUAAGUUUGCAGACAGACACUAGAGGGGCAUCAGAGGAUACUAACCAAGAAGCUAUGGUUUGUUAAGAAAACAAGACAAAAGGGAUAUGAGAUCUGAGCUAUUACCCUUCCUAACUUCACAGAUGUGGACACUGAUGCUUGGAGACACUAGGCCACCAGGUCAGCUCAAACCGACUAGGGGUCAGACCUGCAGCUCCCUCUCCCCGUCUCCCUCCCUCCUUCCUCCUCUCUGUCUUUUCAGUGCUAGUGAUUAAACCUCUGUAUAUGCUCCAUAAGUAUUCUACUCCUGACCUUCGUCCCUACCCAUGGUAUCUGUUGCCGUAGAGUGUUGCUCAAACUUGAGUCCUCCUGCUUGAGCCUCUUGUCUGCCACUACACCGGACUUGUGACUGCUCUGGACUCCUAAAUGAAAGAGAUGGUGAAAACCAGUGACAGGUCUUGCUCUAGACUUCAUGUCUGUGAACAGAGAGAGAUGAGUGAGCUGCUCGGGUCCCAGUGGAAGAGCCCAGGCCUGUCUGAUGGUCAGAUUUUCCCCAGGAGAUAGCAUGUGCUUUUCUUCCUGCAGUUCAUCUUAUGGGCCUCAUCUGCUAGCCAAGAGAAAAGGAAAUCAAACCCCAUGUGUUUCCUCUUGUCCUUCUUUUCAAGUUACCUCUCGGCAUGUUGCAUUUUCACAUUCUAUUAACUGAGGUCCCAAUGCCUGAGAUGACAUGAGAGGAGCCUCUAAGCCAGGGCCUGGCACACAAUCAAUAGUCAAUGUGUUACCCUGCUCAUCACCUAGAGGCCCCUUUCUUCAACCAAUCAGCAAGUCCCCCUGGCUCUCUUGGUAUAUGCAGUAUACAGUAAGACAUUAAGUGGAGCUGAUAUAAGUAGUUACUGAUUAGGAAUAGUUACUGAAUUCAUGAGCUGUCUCUUCUAAUCCCGAUAGCAAUCCCAAGAUACAGAAAUUCUUUGUUCUCUCUUCCAUUUACCAAAGAUGAAACUGGACUCAGAAAAUACGAAAUAAGAACACAGCAAGGACGUGCAACUCCUCAGUCACAGGGUUAAGGUCUGAGCCCAAACAGUCAAUCCAAAGCCUGCACACCAUCUGCCCGGCCCUGCUGUCUGUGAGAAUCGACAAGAGACACUGAGGAUCAAAUGAGGGAGGGAGAUGGCAUUGCCGGGGGUGGUGGGGAGUAUUGUUGGAGGGAGCAUAGACUACUGUACCCUGGAAGGAGGACAAAAGAAAUAAAAGAGGGGCUGGAGAGAUGGCUCAGCAGUUAAGAGCACUUCUGCUCUUACAGAGGACCCAGGCUCAACUUCCAGCACCCACAUGGUGGCUUGCAACUGUCUAUAACUCUAGUGGCAGGGGAUCUUAUGCCUUUGUCUGACCUCCUUGUGUACCAGGAAGGCAUGGGAUAAAUAGAUAUGCAUACAAGUAAAACACUCAUAUACAUAUAAAAAAUUUAAGAGCAAAGGAAAAAAGAAAAAUGUUUUAGGGUAGAAAAAUGAUACUUGUAUCUACUGCAAUCCAACCAUGGAGCAUCAGAAGAUGUCCCCUCCCUAGACCAUGAGGGCUUGUUUCUCCUUUGAGGCAUGUCCUUGGUCAACUGGUCUACCCAGGAGAGCACUCAGUAUGUCAAGGGCCUAAGGGGGUGGGAGCUUCAUCAGAAUCAAUGUCAAACUGAACAGCAAAGGAAUCCCUGGGAGGCACUGGGCAGGGCUGGCCAGGGUCCAGCUGGCUCCAUAUGAACUACAAGACUGCCCUUAAUGAGGCUGUUUUUGGUACCCUAGCAGGAAUGGACACAGAGGGACCCAGGAGACUCAAGACUGUAUUAGUCCUCAGUAAUUAUAGGCAGCAACUUUGACCUCACAGAAGCCACAGUCACUGGUGGAUGGGACAGGAUGUCAUCCAAGGCUGGACAGAUGACAGCAGUGUUAGUCUUCCCUCCUCUACAUACACACACACACACACACACACACACACACACACACACACAAUCAAAA